GCCUUAGUAGUGUAGUGGUCAGCACGCUCGACGCGUAACCGAGAGGUCAUCGUGGUUCGAUUCCCGGCGAAGGCG
rnacentral:tRNA from 1 species